UCCCCAUGAUGAUGGAAAAUUGACUUUCGUUCUACUGAGCGUAAUGAAGCAAAAUAUAACUAAUCUGAGGUGG